CCUACGGGUGGCUGCAGUGGGGAAUAUUGGACAAUGGGCGAAAGCCUGAUCCAGCCAUGCCGCGUGUGUGAAGAAGGCCUUCGGGUUGUAAAGCACUUUCAGUGGGGAAGAAAGCCUUGGGGCUAAUACCCUCGAGGAAGGACAUCACCCACAGAAGAAGCACCGGCUAACUCCGUGCCAGCAGCCGCGGUAAUACGGAGGGUGCGAGCGUUAAUCGGAAUUACUGGGCGUAAAGCGCGCGUAGGCGGUCUGAUAAGCCGGUUGUGAAAGCCCCGGGCUCAACCUGGGAACGGCAUCCGGAACUGUCAGGCUAGAGUGCAGGAGAGGAAGGUAGAAUUCCCGGUGUAGCGGGGAAAUGCGUAGAGAUCGGGAGGAAUACCAGUGGCGAAGGCGGCCUUCUGGACUGACACUGACGCUGAGGUGAGAAAGCGUGGGUAGCAAACAGGAUUAGAUACCCGAGUAGUC
rnacentral:rRNA from 1 species